UCAUCCUCAUGAUACUCAUAUGAUGCUCUGAUUUGAUUUGAUUUGAUUUGGGGGUUACGAAGCCUAGAAAUCUUCGAAUACAUCGGUGUAUCGAAAAAAGAUCGGAGGUAAGCACCAUUCCCACCAUCGAAUACCUCUAUUCUCACUCCGCCGGUGACCUACUUUCUUCAAUCGCAUCGAACCCUUUUCAAAUGCAAGAUAAAAAGGCGUCAUUAGAUUGGUCCCCCACAUCAGCUAACCACCAUCGUCACCACAUUCACCAUUGCUCGCCACUUGCAAAACCCUAACCUUGCCCAACACCAUCUAUUAGCCCUAAUCAAACACUAGGGCAUUGGAGUUGCCUUCAAUCGAAGUCCCUGUUGAACACCUGUUUGCAUCUUCCACCAGCACAGGCCACCUACAUCAACAACACCAUCUUCAUCGUCAACCUCCGCCUCCACACUCACACCUCUGAUAAAGUACUUUGAUCUAUCUCGCUAUGUAUAGUUCAUGAUUUUUGUCAAUUAAACAUCCUCAGAUAACCUUUUGGUUGGUAAUUUUGUGUAACUAAACAUAUUGAUGGUUGUGUGGGUGCAACACAUCACACUAAAUUACCCCAUAACUCGCACCUUUGCUUGUAGAGGUUACAUUUUGGGUUUUAUUUUUGACCUUUAGUAAGAGAAUAAAUUGGUUGCUGACUUGCUGUUGAUGUGGGAUCUGAUAUUUUAAGCUACUCACCAUAAUAGGAAAUGGUGCUAUUGGUGAGGGUGAUAUUUAUGAGCAAAGAACCCAAUUUGCGUGGGAGAAUCUUCGAACAAAGCUGAUGUAAAUUUAUUAAUUCUGAACUUUCUUUUAUCCAUCAUGGUUCAGCUUACAUUGAAAAUUAAAGUUAAAUUUAAACUUAAUUUUUUGCAUUAAUAUUUAGAGCAACAGUCAUUUACUUUAUCCUACGACAACAAUAAAGCAAACAACUUACUCUUACUACAUAUUGGUCAAAAUUGCCACAUAUAACUAUAGAAAUGGUUUCCAUCACCAGGUUAAUAAUUAUGGUUUAGCUUUUAAAUUCGGCCUUCUUUCAAACGUAUCAAUAUAUAUUUUCUAACUAUUGUACGUUUGAGUGUUCUUAAUUACGCAUUUCUUUGAUUUUUUUUAUUUAUGGUUAUCAGUAAGUUUAAAGUGGGAACAAAAUACAGAAGAGUACACUUUGUUUAGCUAACCGAAAUUUGGAUUUACAUAUUGAGGUUGCGUGAUAAUGUUGCCAAAAGGGUUUUGAGAAAGCAUGUUAGGGAGUCACCUUUGGUUGAGAAUGAUGACAUAUUCUGCACCGCUGUCAACAGUGUAUCAAAGGGUAAAGAUCAAGACUCGCUACAAGGACUGAACAUCGUGCACAAGACGCAUCUAUUGUUAAUAAUGCUAGACAUCCUUUUUUCUAUAUAUAGCUUUAUAAAACGCAUACGAAGACACUUUAAAAUUUGUAACUAAUACCAUUAACGACUUGACAGAAAUGAAAUACCCCGUCGCACCGCGACGGGUUAUCUUCUAGUUUUGUAACAUAGUUAGGCAUCAUGUGUUGUACAUCAUGCUUUGUGGCUUUUAUAUGCUUUACAGGGUACAAGUGCACAUCCCAUCUGCCUUUACCCUACUUCUUUUUAUACAGGCUUCACAAUAACACUCUCCUCUUCAAUCGAUCCUCCUCUGUCGACCUACCGUUGCCGCCAACCACCCUCCGUGUUUUGCUUUUUUGUUAGCGAGGCUGAUUAUAGUGGUCUGGAGACCUAGCCGCCACCUCCGACGACGGUGGAUUGGAUUCUGAUGAUGAUUCCGGUGACGAUAGAAGGCUCCUCCGGCGAUGCUUGAUUUCUGACUCGGCAACUACGAGCCGGUUCGAGGGAUUUGUGACUGAUGACCAAUUUCUCGAAGCUACUGUAUGGAGCAAAUCGCUUCUUCCUUCAACAGGUGUGCUUCAACUAGGGUUCACAUCAGCAACAUACAUUAAUCCAACUCUAUUGCUACCAAGUACAAAAUGUCCAUUUGGUGAUCAUAUACAGGACAACAGGAGAAGCCGCCGCGCUAGACAUUCAUGAUCAAGAAGAAGCUCGCGAAGGAGAACAAGCCCAUUGCUCUCGCUAGAUUCGUACGGUACAAAGCGUAAAACCAGGCUUGAGUUCUAAGGUGUUCUCUAUGAUGUCUUGAUUUUUGCUAAAGGCUAUGAAUUUGAUGAUGAAUCUGUUCGAUCACAUGUUUUCCAUGUACCUUGAAUUAUGGUAGGCUAUUUAGUGUUUUUAUUUGAUCUGAUGUCUUCAGUUAUUGCUGCUUAUUUAGUAGUAGCUGCGUUAUGGUACAAGAAUAAUUAAUGCUACUGAUGUACUCAAAAGUGCAUCAAUUGUGUGUGCUUGCUUAGGCAAACCAAGGUGCAGCAUAGGCGCCUUGAACACACACAAGGUGAGCCGCUUGCGGGUGAGGAGAGGCGAG